GACUCGUCACACUAUCAUUAACUGAAUCCAUAGGUUAAUGAGGCGAACCGGGGGAACUGAAACAUCUAAGUACCCCGAGGAAAAGAAAUCAACCGAGAUUCCCCCAGUAGCGGCGAGCGAACGGGGAGGAGCCCAGAGCCUGAAUCAGCAUGUGUGUUAGUGGAAGCGUCUGGAAAGGCGCGCGAUACAGGGUGACAGCCCCGUACACAAAAGCGCAUGUGCUGUGAGCUCGAUGAGUAGGGCGGGACACGUGGUAUCCUGUCUGAAUAUGGGGGGACCAUCCUCCAAGGCUAAAUACUCCUGACUGACCGAUAGUGAACCAGUACCGUGAGGGAAAGGCGAAAAGAACCCCGGCGAGGGGAGUGAAAAAGAACCUGAAACCGUGUACGUACAAGCAGUGGGAGCCCCACCACUAAGCCAGUGGUGAACUCCACAUACGCAUCCUUUGCUGAGGAUACGGUUAACGGAGCGCAAGCGACGUUCAACCGCAAAAGAAGCAGAGGGGGC
rnacentral:rRNA from 1 species